AACGAACGCUGGCGGCACGCCUCAUACAUGCAAGUCGAGCGCGAAACCACCUUCGGGUGAUGUAGAGCGGCGAACGGGUGAGUAACAGGUGGAUAAUCUGCCCUUUGGCGGGGGACAACAGCUGGAAACGGCUGCUAAUACCGCAUGUGGUUGUAUGCUCAUGGUGUACAAAGAAAGACGCCUCAAAGCGUCACCAAAGGAUGAGUCCGCCCCCCAUUAGCUAGUUGGUGAGAUAACAGCUCACCAAGGCAUCGAUGGGUAGCCGAGCUGAGAGGUUGAUCGGCCACACUGGAACUGAGACACGGUCCAGACACCUACGGGUGGCAGCAGUAGGGAAUAUUGCGCAAUGGCGAAAGACCUGACGCAGCGAUGCCGCGUGAGUGACGAAGGUCUUAGAUUGUAAAGCUCUUUUCUGAGGGAAGAUAGGUCUGCGAGGAAAUGCGCGGAUUCUGACGGUACCUCAGGAAUAAGGAAC
rnacentral:rRNA from 1 species